UACGUAGGGGGCGAGCGUUAUCCGGAAUCAUUGGGCGUAAAGGGUGCGUAGGCGGCAUUGUAAGCGCAGGGUGAAAGGCAACGGCUUAACUGUUGUUAGCCCUGCGAACUGCAUAGCUUGAGUACAGGAGAGGAAAGCGGAAUUCCUAGUGUAGCGGUGAAAUGCGUAGAUAUUAGGAGGAACACCAGUGGCGAAGGCGGCUUUCUGGACUGAAACUGACGCUGAGGCACGAAAGCGUGGGGAGCAAACA
rnacentral:rRNA from 1 species